rnacentral:lncRNA from 1 species
GCAAACGAUCGCUCUCUUCAGGAUUCUGUGUCUCUAAGAAGCUUUCAGCUGAGACUCCAAGAUCUGGUCCUCCUGAUAGCAAAAGCAUGUACAAUGACAGGGAGCCAGACUUAAUUCCACUUUUUAAGAAAGGCAAGCAGGGUGUGAGGAGAGAUGCUAGAGGAACAGAGAAAGCCAGUAAUGUGGAUAAGGCAUUCCAGCAAUUGCUAAAAGGAGAAGCUUAGAAUAACUAAGGUUUUGAAGAAAGAAGCAUCCUACGUUGUCAACACAGAGGAGUCAAGCUUGCCAGUUAAACCUCUAAAGAAAUGGAAGAACCACUCUGGAUAUUUAAUGAUCUUAAAAUCUGUGAGUCAUUUUGAUGUAGUUCUUUACUUAAAAUUGUUACAUACAUUACUGAAUUUUAGUAAGUCAUAGAAAUCUAUGAUUCGAAAGCGUGGAGGUU